GAGGGAAGAGGAGGAGGGAAGAGGGGGAACAGGAACUCGAUGACCUCUCCCCCGAGAGUGGGGCCAGAACGGAGUCUUCCAGGCGGAUGAGGAGAAGUCAGUCCGCCAGCGGAGGAAAACAGAAGGUGACUCCAACACCUACUCCGAGCUCUCCGACUGCUGACAGGAGGAGAG